rnacentral:rRNA from 1 species
UUUGAUCAUGGCUCAGGACGAACGCUGGCGGCGUGCUUAACACAUGCAAGUCGAGCGGAAAGGCUCUUCGGGGGUACUCGAGCGGCGAACGGGUGAGUAACACGUGAGUAAUCUGCCCUUGGCUUUGGGAUAACUACCGGAAACGGUGGCUAAUACCGGAUACGACCACUCCUUGCAGGAGGUGGUGGUGGAAAGUUUUUUCGGCCAGGGAUGUGCUCGCGGCCUAUCAGCUUGUUGGUGGGGUAAUGGCCUACCAAGGCUUCGGCGGGUAGCCGGCCUGAGAGGGUGACCGGCCACACUGGGACUGAGACACGGCCCAGGCUCCUACGGGAGGCAGCAGUGGGGAAUAUUGGACAAUGGGCGGAAGCCUGAUCCAGCAACGCCGCGUGAGGGAUGACGGCCUUCGGGUUGUAAACCUCUUUCAGUACCGACGAAGCGCCGAUGAUGGUGGUGACGGUAGGUACAGAAGAAGCACCGGCCAACUACGUG